rnacentral:lncRNA from 1 species
GGGCAAAAUGAGAAUUACUCUCCUUUGCCUUCCCAAAUAGUCCAAAUUUAAGCUUUGUCUGCAGCUGCCUUAAAACAGCAGCCAAGAUAGUUUUAAGAAUAGGGGGCCAGAAGAGUCCUCUUGAGGCAUAGUGGAUUAAGGACCCAGUGUUGUCCUGGUCUUGGGUCGCUGUUGUGGCGCAGAUUCAAUCUCUGGUCUGGGAAAUUCCAUAUGCAAUGGGUGCGGCCAAAAAAAAUUGAAAAUGGAGCCAUGACACAAGCUGCUGCAGUGACAAUGCCGGAUCCUUAACUCACUGCACCACAACAAAGAAACUCCCAGAGUUCUAGUCCUGGAUUGGCCCCUAACCUGCUAUGUGACUAGGGCAAAUCCUUCCUUUUCUCUGAGCUAGAAUCCUCCCAUCUGUUCAGUGAGACAUUGGAAACUAUUAUCUGUGACUCAGUUUCCUCGCCCAUGCAAUGGGCACCACAGUAAAUAUCUCAUUUUACCCUCUUGUCUGUUAGAAAGAUCAGCAUGGAAUCAUGUAAACUAGAUCUGAAAACUGAAGGCUUAAUUUGACAGUAGAUAUGUUAGAACUAUAAAGCAGCAUGGCAACUUCUCAUUGGCUUUGAGAUUUCCUUGGUGGUGGCUAUUAAUUUUUUUUUUGUCUUUUUUUUUGCCAUUUUUUGGGCCGCUCCUGCAGCAUAUGGAGGUCCCCAGCCUACACCAGAGCCACAGCAACGCGGGAUCUAAGCCACAUCUGCGACCCACACCAUGGCCCACGGCAAUGCCAGAUUGUCAACCCACUGAGCAAGGGCAGGGAUCGAACCCGCAACUUCAUGGUUCCUAGUCAGAUUCGUCAACCACUGCGUCAUGAUGGGAACUCUGAGCAUUUAUUAAUUUCUUUGUGCAACAAAUAUAAUUUAUUUUAUGUUAUAACUUUUUAUUUUGGAAAAUUUUUUGAUUCACAUAAGAGUUGCAAAAGAGGGUUUCCUUCAUGGCUCAGUAGUUAAGGAACCCAGCUAGGAUCUAUGAGGAUGCAGGUUUAAUCCCUGGCCUCACUCAAUGGGUUAAGGAUCCAGUGUUACUAUGACUGUGAUGUAGGCUGGCAGCUGAAGCCCUGAUUUGACCCCUAGUCUGGGAACUUCCAUAUGCCAUGGGUAUGGCCCUAAAAAGCAAAACAAACAAACAAACAAACAAACAAACAAAAACAAAAACAACAACAAAAAACAGAGAGAGAGAGAGAAGAGUUACAAAAGACAGGACAGUUCCUACUCAUCCUUUCCCCAAUUUUUCCUAAUAUUAACAUCUUACUUAUCAGUUCCUGUUGUGGCUUAACAGGUUACAAACUGAUUAGUAUCCAUGAGGAUGUGGGUUUGAUCCCUGGCCUUGCUCACUGGGUUAAGGAUCUGGCGUUGCCAGGAGCUGUGGUGUAGGUAGCAGAUGUGGCUCGCAUCCCAAGUUGCUGUGGCUGUGGUGUAGGCUGGCAGCUGCAGCUCUGAUUUGAUCCCUAGUCUGGGAACUUCCAUAUGCCACAGGUUCAGCCCUAAAAAAAAAUAUCUUACAUAACUACUGUAAAAGUAUCAAAACUAAGAAAUCAUCAUUGGCACAAAACUGUUACCUAUAGACCUCACUGAAAUUUCACAUUUUUCUUGCUUAUAUCCCUUUUUUGUUCCAAAACUCAAUACAUUACAUUUAGUCAUCAUGUCUCCUUAUUCUCCUCAAUCAGUGAAAAUUCCUCAUUCUUUCCUUUUUUUUUAAAUUUUUCAUGACCUUGACAAUUUUUUUUUUUUGAUGUUAUCGCUGUGGUUAGAAGUGCACAUGAUGAGAACUACUGAAUUCUUUUUUUUUUUUUUUUGUCUUUAGGGCCCCAUCCAUGGCAUAUGGAGGUUCCCAGGCUAGGGGUCUAAUCGGAGCUUCGGCCGCCGGCCUACAUUACAGCCCCAGCAUCGCCAGAUCCAAACCACGUCUGCGACCUACAGCCCAGCUCACGGCAACGCCGGAUCCUUAACUCACUGAGCGAGGCCAGGGAUUGAACCCCUGUCCUCAUGGUUCCUAGUCAGAUUCGUUUCUGCUGCGCCACGACAGGAACUCUGACCUCCACAUUUUUGAAGAGUACUACUCAUGUAUUUUUUAGCAUGUUGUCAACUUGGAUGUGUCCGAUGAUUUCUCCAUGACACAACAGAGCUAAUAGAUUUUUAGGAAGAACAUCACAGAGAUGAAAUUAUCUUUUCAUUGCAUCAUAUCAGGGGUACAUAUAAUGUUGUUGGUGUUAAAUCUGAGCACUUGGUUAAUGUGGUGUCUGCCAGGUUUCUCCAUUAUAACAUUAGACUUUUCCCUUUCCCACAGCCUACUUGGAGAAGAGAAAGACUGAGUUGAGUCUAUGGUUCUCACCAAGUUCAAGAAGUGAGACAUUAAGUUCUACCUCCUGGGAGAGGAAUAUCAAAGAAGUUGUGGACGUAUGUUAAAACCAUCAUAUUUGGAGAGAGGGGUCCUUUGAGGCAAUACAAACAUCCUAUUUCUCUUUAAUGUUUUGCCCACCAAUUUUACCAUAUUCAGUGGAUCUUGCAAUUAUUAGUAUGGUGUCUAAUGGUAAUCUUCUAUUUCCCUCAUUUCUUCUAUAGUUAAUAUUUGGAAUUCUUCUAUAAGGAAUAUUUGGCACUUCUUCCUUAUUUAUCUGUUUUUGUUUUUGCUUUUUUUUUCUUUUCUAGGGCCGCACCCACAGCAUAUGGAGGUUCCCAGGCUAGGGGUCUAAUCAGAGCUGUAGCCUCUGGCCUACGCCAGAGCCACAGCAAUGCAGGACCUGAGCUGGGUCUGCAACCUACACCACAGCUCAUUGCAACGCCGGAUCCUUAACCCACUGAGCAAGGCCAAGGAUGGAACCGGCAACCUCAUGGUUCCUAGCUGGAUUCGUAAACCACUGAGCCACGACGGGAACUCCCCUAUUUAUCUGUUUAUUCAAUAUGGACUCAUGGAAUUUUUUUAUACUUUGGGUUAUAACCCAAUAUUACAUAUAUUUACUUUAGCCACUGGAAGCUCUUUCAGGUUGACUCAUAUGUCCUUUUUCAUGUGUCUUUUUUCUUAAUACUUCCUUACUUUUUGGCACUACUUUAGACUUGAGGAUCACCCUGUAUUUUCCCUGGCUCGGUCCUAGAACUGGCCAUUUCCCUAAGCAGCCCAGGCUUCUUCACUGGAAAAUGGCAUUUAGGAACCAAGGUCUGGACAUUGAGGGUUUGCAUUCCUACCGAGGUGUCACUGCUCCUAGAUCCUAUCUGCAUACAGAGCAAGGAAAUGUAGAACUCUGCUAACCCAUGUAUACGCACAUAUCUAUAUUUGUUUCUAUAUCUACUUGUAUAUAUUAAAAUAGACCUGAAUUCAUACUGAGGCUUCCAACUCUACUCUAUCCCCGCAGAGUGCCUUCUAGUCUUUUUCUCAUGCUCAUGUGUGACUUCAUCCUCUGAAGUGAGAAACUUGGCUCCCAUUAUCUACAAUUUAUUUACUUAUUUGUUUAACCCUCAUAUACACAGUUUCAGAAUGCUAACUUCUAUUCCUUUCACAAACACAUUUAACAACUAGAGUGCAGUGUUUAUAAACAAUUCUUUUUGUCUCUAGCCAAAUAUAAUUUUUAAUAUUUAAAAGCAGGGCUGGAUUCAAACCCCAUCUCUGCCAUGCACUGGUUGGGUCAGUGUGAGGAACACACUUAAUCUCUCUUUCAUCUCAGUUUAAUCAUCUAUAAAACCAGAAUAAUAGCUUCCGUCCUACCUGAUUUAUGUUCUGAUGGGAAUGGAAGAAUUAGAGGAGAUAAAGUACAGAAAGGUCACCUAGCACUCCUCCAAGGUCUCAUGUUAUCAUAACAUCAACAGUCCCUGAGCUCCAGGGUUGGGCCCUGCAAAUGGAAGCUCCUGUCCUCUGAGUCUUUUCCUGCUCUAAAGCACAUACGAGGGUCACAAGUGUCCACUCUUUUCUGCAUCCAAUUCAGUGAAUCUGAUCCAGGCCAAGCUGGGAGGGAGCCUGGUCUCUGGCUAAACAAACACAGACACUAAGAGCAUCUAGGCUCUCGAAGGCUCUCACUACCUGCUGAGGCAUUUUGGCCCAGCUGCCCUGGUCAGAGCCAAAGCUCUCCACUGGCCUCUGUCCUCAGCUACCUUUUUGUACACAAGCCACAGACCUUUAUGGGGGUACCCCUUUCUCUCUGUUGGGAAGAUCCCCAGCAUCCUGAGAUGGGAAGCUUUGUUUUGCAGACUGGCUGGGCCCCUUCCUUUCUCUGGUCUUCAGUUUUCCCAUCUGUAAAAAUGAGGGUGUUGCAUUAAGUCAGAAGUCACAGAAUGGUAGCUGGAUCCAGCAGGCAUAUUUGGCCCACAGGGUACUUUCAGUAUUUUUUUAAAAUAAUAGCCCUUAUUUUUAGAGCAGUUUUAGGUUUACAGAAAACUGAGUGGAAAGUAGAGGGCUCCCAUAUGUAUUUCUUCCUACAUCCACAUCCACUCCAACAGUUUCCUUUAUUGUAAACAUCCUACAUUAACACGGACAUUUGCUGCAAUUGAGGAACCAACAUAAUACAUUAUUAUUAGGACAUUAUUAUUAACUGAAGCCCAUCACUUAUAUUAGGGUUCACUCCUUGUGUUGUACAGUUCUAUGGGUUGCAACAGAUAUAAUGUCAUGUAUUCACCAUUAGAGCAGCAUAAAAAUAGUUUCACUGGCCUAAAAAUCCCCUAUAUUUUACCUAUUCAUAUUUUUCCCCAUUUCCCCAAAUCUUGGAAAACAUUGAUCUUUUCAUUUUCUCUAUAGCUUUGCCUUUUCUAGAAUGUCAUGUGCUUGGAAUCACGCAGUAUGUAGCCUUUUCAAACUGCCUUCCCUCACUUAGCAAUAUGCAUUUACAAUUCCCCCACGUCUUUUUAUGGCUUCAUUAAUCAU